rnacentral:rRNA from 1 species
UACGUAGGGGGCAAGCGUUAUCCGGAAUUACUGGGUGUAAAGGGUGAGUAGGCGGUUAUGUAAGCCAUAUGUGAAAGUCUGUAGCUCAACUAUAGAAUUGCAUAAGGAACUGUGUAACUAGAGUGCAGGAGAGGUAAGUGGAAUUCCUAGUGUAGCGGUGAAAUGCGUAGAUAUUAGGAGGAACACCAGUGGCGAAGGCGACUUACUGGACUGAAACUGACGCUGAGACACGAAAGCGUGGGGAGCAAACAGG